GAUGAAAACGCAGCGAAAUGCGAUAAGUAAUGUGAAUUGCAGAAUUCAGUGAAUCAUCGAAUCUUUGAACGCACAUUGCGCCCGCCAGCAUUCUGGCGGGCAUGCCUGUUCGAGCGUCAUUUCAACCCUCGAGCCCCCCCGGGGGCCUCGGUGUUGGGGGACGGCACACCAGCCGCCCCCGAAAUGCAGUGGCGACCCCGCCGCAGCCUCCCCUGCGUAGUAGCACACACCUCGCACCGGAGCGCGGAGGCGGUCACGCCGUAAAACGCCCAACUUUCUUAGAGUUGACCUCGGAUCAGGUAGGAAUACCCGCUGAACUUAAGCAUAUCAAUAAGCGGAGGA
rnacentral:misc_RNA from 1 species